GUGAAGAAUCUGCCCUCCACUUUGGGAUAACUCCCGGAAACCGGGGCUAAUACCGAAUAUUGAAACAUAAGCGGCAUCGCUGAGUUUUGAAAGAAUUUCGGUGGAGGAUGACUUCGCGGCCUAUCAGCUUGUUGGUGAGGUAAUGGCUCACCAAGGCAACGACGGGUAGCCGGCCUGAGAGGGCGACCGGCCACACUGGGACUGAGACACGGCCCAGACUCCUACGGGAGGCAGCAGUGGGGAAUAUUGGGCAAUGGACGCAAGUCUGACCCAGCGACGCCGCGUGCGGGAUGAAGGCCUUAGGGUUGUAAACCGCUUUCAGCAGGGAAGAAGCGAAAGUGACGGUACCUGCAAAAGAAGCACCGGCUAACUAUGUGCCAGCAGCCGCGGUAAUACAUAGGGUGCAAGCGUUGUCCGGAAUUAUUGGGCGUAAAGAGUUCGUAGGUGGUUCGUUACGUCGGAUGUGAAAAUCUGGGGCUCAACCCCAGACCUGCAUUCGAUACGGGCGAGCUAGAGUUUGGUAGGGGAGACUGGAAUUCCUGGUGUAGCGGUGGAAUGCGCAGAUAUCA
rnacentral:rRNA from 1 species